rnacentral:rRNA from 1 species
GACGAACGCUGGCGGCGUGCUUAACACAUGCCAGUCGAACGGAAAGGCCCUGCUUGCCGGGUACUCGAGUGGCGAACGGGUGAGUAACACGUGGGUGAUCUGCCCUGCACUUCGGGAUAAGCCUGGGAAACUGGGUCUAAUACCGGAUAGGAGCCAUUUUUAGUGUGAUGGUUGGAAAGUUUUUUCGGUGUAGGAUGAGCUCGCGGCCUAUCAGCUUGUUGGUGGGGUAAUGGCCUACCAAGGCGGCGACGGGUAGCCGGCCUGAGAGGGUGGACGGCCACAUUGGGACUGAGAUACGGCCCAGACUCCUACGGGAGGCAGCAGUGGGGAAUAUUGCACAAUGGGCGCAAGCCUGAUGCAGCGACGCCGCGUGGGGGAUGACGGCCUUCGGGUUGUAAACUCCUUUCGCUAGGGACGGAGCUUUUUGUGACGGUACCUAGAUAAGAAGCACCGGCUAACUACGUG